GUCCACGCUGUAAACGAUGGGCACUAGGUGCUCGGGUAUUGACCCCUGGGUGCCGUAGCUAACGCAUUAAGUGCCCCGCCUGGGGACUACGGCCGCAAGGCUAAAACUCAAAGGAAUUGACGGGGCCCGCACAAGCGGUGGAGCAUGUGGUUCAAUUCGACGCAACGCGAAGAACCUUACCUGGGCUAGACAACAGGAGACAACCCCAGAAAUGGGGCUUUCCCUUCGGGGACUCCUGGUUCAGGUGCUGCAUGGCUGUCGU
rnacentral:rRNA from 1 species